rnacentral:rRNA from 1 species
CGCGUGGGGGUGCUAUACAUGCAGUCGAGCGGACAGAAGGGAGCUUGCUCCCGGACGUUAGCGGCGGACGGGUGAGUAACACGUGGGCAACCUGCCCCUUAGACUGGGAUAACUCCGGGAAACCGGAGCUAAUACCGGAUAAUCCCUUUUUCCACCUGGAGAGAGGGGGAAAGAUGGGUUCGGCUAUCACUAGGGGAUGGGCCCGCGGGGCAUUAUCUAUUUGGUAAGGUAACGGCUUACCAAGGCGACAAUGCGUAGCCGACCUGAGAGGGGGAUCGGCCACACUGGGACUGAGACACGGCCCACACUCCUACGGGAGGCGGCAGUAGGGAAUCUUCCCCAAUGGACAAAAGUCUGACGGAGCAACGCCGCGUGAGUGAGGAAGGCCUUCGGGUCGUAAAGCUCUGUUGUGAGGGAAAAAACGGGACCGUUCGAAUAGGGGGGGACCUUGACGGUACCUCACCACAAAGCCACGGCUAACUACGUGCCACCACCCGCGGUAAUACAUAGGUGGCAAGCGUUGUCCGGAAUUAUUGGGCGUAAAGCGCGCGCAGGCGGCUUCUUAAGUCUGAUGUGAAAUCUCGGGGCUCAACCCCCAGCGGCCAUUGGAAACUGUGGAGCUUGAGUGCAGAAGAGGAGAGUGCAAUUCCACGUGUAGCGCCGAAAUGCGUACAGAUGUGGAGGAACACCACUGUCGAUAGCGACUCUCUGGGCUGUAACUGAGACUGAGGCGCGAUAACGUGCGGGAGCACACAGGAUAUCAUACCCCUGGGGGGCCACGCCGCAAACAAUGAGUGCUAUGUGUGAGGGGUUUCUAUGCCCGCAGAGCCGUGAUAAA